ensembl:lncRNA
UCCGUCCCGCCGGGGACCCCCGAGCGGCGCCGCUGUGGGCCCGGCGGGGCCUCCCGGCAGCCCCCGCGGCCUCUGAUUUGCAUGGCUCCGCCCCCGGAACGGGACUCUCCCCAGGGGCCCCGCCCCUCGUGGUGGCCGCUCCGCCCCCUUCCAGAUCAGCCCGUUUGGUCAGGUUUACAUUUACUUAGCAUUUCUCAGCUUCUUUUAGGCUUUUAGUACCGUUUUUACACCACGGGAUGAGCAAAUAGGUUUAAAACACCGCGUAACUCAGGGAAAGAACAGAGUCUUGGGGCAGCUAUGCGGUACGAACUGAGUAAUUUCCCUGAUCCUGGGAGGAAACAGGCAUACCUGGCGCGGCUUCACUUCGCGGUGCUAAUCUGCUCUGCCUCAUAUCCUCUGCUCUCAGCGCAGCCGGCACUUUAGGAUCGGCCUUGUAGCGCGAUGUGAGCGCCUCUCUGUUUCUUAAUCUCUUUUAGCUCGAGCAUCCCAUGAUUUUUAAUCAGUUCAAUCUGCAGGUUAAGGUACUAACUGCUGCUUUUAAAAGAAAUACCUCACAGAGGCUCCUAGCCUGUCAGAGAAAGGGCGGGCAGGCAGAUGAGAAGAGACCGGGGGAACCGCAGGGCUGCGGCGCCGCCUCACCACAGCGCCGCGACCCCUCUUCCCGCCGAUUUCCCAACGGUCGCCGGGGGGGGGACAGGGGGCGCUCGCGCCUUCCCCCCACACUGCGCCUGCGCGCCCCCUCUUCCCGCCAAUUGCGGGGGGGGGGGGCGCCGCGGGCGCCUGCGCGUGUCGCCUCGCGCCCUCCCCUCCCACUGCGCCUGCGCGCCGCCUUUCCCGCUCCCUCCCUCACCGCUCCCUAGCGUCGGUCCACAGGAUGGCGCAUGCGCGCGGGGAAAGGCCGUAGUGCGCACGCGCUCCUCUGUCUCCCAGCAUGCACCGGGGCGGCGACCUAUUUAAGCGCUCAGGCGGGGCUACUUCGGCCAUUUCCUUGCUGUUGCUGUAUGGGGAGGGUGAGUGUGUCCGGGCGUUGCCUGCUCCUGGGGCUGUUCGGGGGUCGCUCUGCGCGGAACGAGCCGUUCCUAGCGGCCGUUUCCUUCUCUCCUGAGGUUUUCAGACGUCUAAGGGGAAGCUCUGCCAGAGGUGUGGAACUGGUCAGCCAUGUGCAUCUGUGGUUCCUUCGCAGCGUUGUGCUCAGAGUCUCUGGGAGUGGCCUGGGUGUCUCCCUCUGCAGGUUGAUGCCUCCGGAGCAGGCGGUGCUGCCCCAGCCCCGUCGCCGGCAGCAUGAGGAAAUGGAUGAAAGCUGUUGGCUGGGGGUGUCCAGCAAAGCUCCGAGCAGCCUGGAGCGGCUGCGCUGGAUGGUGUUUGACGGAGGUGGCCGGAGGGGCCGGGCGGCAGCAGCUGGGCUGAGUCCAGGGGGAAACGCGGAUGCAUGUCCUGGCGCUGGAGCCCCCCCAGAGCUCGUCCAGGCCCUGCUCACCUUCACCAUUCUCAGGGUCGCUGAGCUGCUGGAGAAGAGCUGCCUCCCUUGCGCGUGCCCUCUCUUUGUGUGAAUAAAAACACUUUCUUUAGUACUCUGGUCUUGUCCGACUCGCUCUCGCUGGGGAGGGGAACUGGGGGUGAAUUCCCCGUUGUCUGGGAUAAACGGGAUGUGCUCCGGCUGAUGUGCCCGCAGGGAUGGGGAUGGGCUGAAGGAG